GACGAACGCUGGCGGCGUGCUUAACACAUGCAAGUCGAACGGAAAGGCCCUGCUUUUGUGGGGUGCUCGAGUGGCGAACGGGUGAGUAACACGUGAGUAACCUGCCCUUGACUUUGGGAUAACUUCAGGAAACUGGGGCUAAUACCGGAUAGGAGCUCCUGCUGCAUGGUGGGGGUUGGAAAGUUUCGGCGGUUGGGGAUGUACUCGCGGCUUAUCAGCUUGUUGGUGGGGUAGUGGCUUACCAAGGCUUUGACGGGUAGCCGGCCUGGGAGGGUGACCGGCGACAUUGGGACUGAGAGACGGCCCAGACUGCUACGGGAGGCAGCAGUGGGGAAUAUUGCACAAUGGGCGGACGCCUGAUGUAGCAACGCCGGGUGCGGGAUGACGGCUUUCUGGUUGUAAACAGCUUUCGACUGUGACGAAGAGUGAGUGACGGUAAUGGGUAAAGAAGCACCGGCUAACUACGUG
rnacentral:rRNA from 1 species